UACAGAGGUCUCAAGCGUUGUUCGGAUUCAUUGGGCGUAAAGGGUGCGUAGGCGGCGCGGUAAGUCGGGUGUGAAAUCUCGGGGCUUAACUCCGAAACUGCAUUCGAUACUACCGUGCUUGAGGACUGGAGAGGAUACUGGAAUUUACGGUGUAGCGGUGAAAUGCGUAGAUAUCGGAAGGAAGACCAGUGGCGAAGGCGGUUCUCUGGACAGUUCCUGACGCUGAGGCACGAAGGCCAGGGGAGCAAACGGG
rnacentral:rRNA from 1 species